rnacentral:rRNA from 1 species
AUACGGAGGAUCCGAGCGUUAUCCGGAUUUAUUGGGUUUAAAGGGUGCGCAGGCGGGAGAUUAAGUCGGCGGUGAAAUUUUGCAGCUCGACUGUAAAAGUGCCUUCGAAACUGGUUUCCUUGAGUGUAGAUGAAGUAGGCGGAAUUUGUGGUGUAGCGGUGAAAUGCAUAGAUAUCACGAGGAACUCCGAUUGCGCAGGCAGCUUACUAAACUACUACUGACGCUCAGGCACGAAGGCGUGGGGAUCAAACAGGAUUAGAUACCCUGGUAGUCCACGCAGUAAACGAUGAUUACUAGCUGUUUGCGAUACAAUGUAAGCGGCUGAGCGAAAGCGUUAAGUAAUCCACCUGGGGAGUACGUUCGCAAGAAUGAAACUCAAAGGAAUUGACGGGG